GUAUGGCAAGAUAUAACCAUAAAGGAAUUUAGUUUUUGUCAGUCGCAAGAACUCAUCACAAUCAUAAACGUAUACGUAUAUAUGCAUGCAGUUUCAAAUAUCAAGAACAAGCGGUCGAUGUCGAUAGUCCGUUUUCUAACUGUUCAGAGUUAGACAUGUCACUAGUUCAUUCUUGGAAGCCUUCAUAUUCCCUGUCCAACGAUGGGAACUCUUUCUGUUUGUAUUGACUAUAAAUGCUUGUAUGGUAAUUCUGUCGUUUAUCUGUACAAGUGGUUGCAUUUCCUCUCCUUUCCCAACAAACAAACGAACGAAAC
rnacentral:lncRNA from 1 species